UACGUAGGCAGCAAGCGUUGUUCGGAAUUACUGGGCGUAAAGAGUGUGUAGGCGGUGUUCUAAGUUUGUCGUGAAAUCUCCCGGCUUAACUGGGAGGGUGCGGCGAAAACUGGAAUGCUAGAGGAUGGGAGAGGUAAGCGGAAUUCCUGGUGUAGCGGUGAAAUGCGUAGAUAUCAGGAGGAACACCUGUGGUGUAGACAGCUUACUGGACCAUUUCUGACGCUGAGACACGGAAGCGUGGGUAGCAAACAGG
rnacentral:rRNA from 1 species